GAUGCUCAUUUAGGAUUAGCUAGAAGUUGUUGUCAGUUAGGAGCAGUGUCUUAAUUAAGAUGCGCGGCACAAAUGGUGUCGGGUGUUACUAUCAAGUGGAUCGAACAUGGGCCAACACUUUACUUGGAUUAGCGUUAAUUAACGUCAUCGGUGUUUGCUACGUCAUCAAAAUCUGUUACUUCAUCAUCAAGUUCUUCAAGUUCAUGACUUUCCUCUUUAUCUGAUUCUUAAAUAAGAUUAAUUCUUUAAGUUUAAAUUUUAUUGAAUGAAGGAUUGCACCAGU